CCUACGAGGGGCUGCAGUGAGGAAUAUUGGUCAAUGGUCGGGAGACUGAACCAGCCAAGCCGCGUGAGGGAUGAAGGUACAGAGUAUCGUAAACCUCUUUUGUCAGGGAACAAAGGCGGGGACGCGUCCCCGGAUGAGUGUACCUGAAGAAAACGCAUCGGCUAACUCCGUGCCAGCAGCCGCGGUAAUACGGAGGAUGCGAGCGUUAUCCGGCUUUCUUGGGUUUAAAGGGUGCGCAGGCGGUCUGGUAAGUCAGCGGGCAAAGCCCGGGGGUGAACCCCGGCCCCGCCGUUGAACCUGGCAGUCUCGAGUUGGAGAGAAGUAUGCGGAAUGCGCGGUGUAGCGGUGAAAUGCAUAGAUAUCGCGCAGAACUCCGAUUGCGAAGGCAGCAUGCCGGCUCCACACUGACGCUGAGGCACGAAAGCGUGGGUAUCGAACAGGAUUAGAUACCCUAGUAGUC
rnacentral:rRNA from 1 species